ACAUUCUUUACUACAAUUGAUACAAGAGGGUUUAAUUUGUGUGUUAAGUAAUUUUCGCAUCAAGUUUUUGGCGCCGUAUGGGGAUUAGCAACUUUGCUAAUCCCUUGUUAUUUCUUUUUGUAUAUUUUCAUGUCUUUUGUUUUUAGUUACUGACUUUGUUUCUGUUUGUGUUUUUUUUUUUUGUUUAUUUUACUUUUGAUAUUUGAUUUAGUUUUGUUUCCUUGAUUUCAGGUACUAGAGAAGUAAGACAUGAAUUUUGCUACCAUUCAAGCUCAAUUGGCGAAACUUAUUUCUCAAUUGUCAUAAUAUCCCGAAAGGACCACAAUGCAAAGUGUCCCUACAUAUGGUGUGUCCUAUGGGCAAGGAUAUCCAACUCAUCAAUGUUUUCAAUUCGUUGCGAAUGAAGAUG
rnacentral:lncRNA from 1 species